AAACAGUAAAUAAUGGCAAACGCUAUGGACUAAAUAGUAAUUCUCCUAGAUAUUAUUUUAAAAAAUUUUUAAACUCGCCUUUCUAAUUUGCAACAGAAUAUAAAUUAUUUUUUUUUUACUUAUUUUAAAAACUUAGACAAUAUAAUGAAAAACAGUUUUUAAAAAACAAAGAACAAAAAACUACAACCAGAUUUUAGAUAAUAAAGGGGAAAAAUAUGCAAUGUACCAAACACACUUUAAUAGCCUGAAUUUUCAAUUUUAUUAUCAAAUCAUUCAAGAGCAACCUAACACCCAAUAGCCCAUAAGAAUAACAAUAUAGGUAUGAUAAAAUAUGUCUUUCACUAGCAACAAAGAAAACACCGUAAACAGUUAUAUUUUAAAUUUCUUCCCAAAACAGUCCUAAAAUAUGUUACUGAUGGCCCCACAUCACUCUUAUGAUGUUCAAGGGAAUAGAGUGAAGAGUAUGUCCCAUAUCAAAAUUUGAAUUUAAUUCAAUGUUAUUGUUUAUAAAAAACGAAAGCAACUAACUUCAAGGAUCUUGAACGUCUGAUACCAAACCAACACAAGACAGCCUCACAUCAGAACUGCGAAAAAUAAGCAUAUGAUGAGUAUCCCUGAAUGGUACCACUAGCAGUAACUAUGAACAGUAUUGUGAUUAGUAAAUAAAGAAUCUAAGCAUCACAUAAUUGACAACUCAAAAGGCAAAACUAGAGGAAUUUUGGACUUCAAAACUAGUCUUGAAUCUAUAAGAAAU
rnacentral:misc_RNA from 1 species